AUGAUCACUGUUAUAUUCAUGUGUCUGUGGCUUUCAUUAGGUGACUCCAUGGCAGAUCCAAUAGAGCCACGUUCCCCUCUUAAAGUUGUAGAUGAAGGUGAUGAUGUUACUCUGUCCUGCAGCUACAAAAACAGUGCUACAGCACAAAAUCUGUUCUGGUACAAACAACAUCCAAAAUCUAAACCUGAGUUCCUUUUUUACAUCUUACGGAAUGGAGAUAAAACUGACCCUAUGCCACCACGUCUGUCUGCUGAAGUUGAUGAUAAAACUAAACAAGUGGAUCUGAUCAUCUCCUCUGCUGCUGUAUCAGACUCUGCUCUAUACUACUGUGCUCUG